CCGCUGUGGUGACUGAAGCCCGGGGGCCUGUUGGCCCCCGGCACCGUUGGGGUCUGUGGAUCGAUGGCCGCUGGCCAUACCCGAAAUACAGAUUCCUGGAGGGAGCCACCCCGUGGGAUCCGCCGUUCGCCGGCGUUGUCCACGGGGUCUGGACCCUUCAUCCGAGGGCCACAUGCCGCAGCCUGCCAGCGCCCUCACGGGCGUCUGGUCGGAUCAACUGCGUGCGGACUGGUGCUGAGGAGUUUAGUGGGGGCAAUUGGAUGGUCCCAGCGUCCCCCCGGUACGCCGGGGGUGCCGCCGCGGCCGAGUGCCUUGUGCACUCCUUCCAUUUAACUACAUUCUACCCCCUCGGGGGUCUGGGCUCCCGGGACCCUCCCGCCGCGAGGCGUGGGGGCCCCCGGGUCGCCUCGCCAUGAAGUUACCUGGUUGAUUCUGCCAGUAGUCAUAUGCUUGUCUCAAAGAUUAAGCCAUGC
rnacentral:rRNA from 1 species